rnacentral:tRNA from 1 species
GCCCACUUAGCUCAGUUGGCAGAGCGCGUCCUUGGUAAGGACGAGGUCUCCAGUUCAAUCCUGGAAGUGGGCUCCA